rnacentral:lncRNA from 1 species
CAAACAAGCAACUACGGAGCAAAUGGAGUGCAUCAACAUCUUCCGCUGAGCUGAUCACCUACUUGGAGGAAUCUCGACAUGUCUAUCGAGACCUGUGGGCAUGAAACGCAGCAUCCCCAGGCAAAAGGGACGUUAGUACAAAUAAUGUACCGAGUAUGUAAGGAAUGAAAAUCAGUAAACAAUAGACAUGAGAGAAACAUGGAGUAAAAGACUCGACAUGUAUGUCUGAAUAACUCUGUGAAUUAUUUCAUAUUUAUAAUGUCAUACAUAUGCGUAUUAAUGUCAUACCAUGCAUAGGUAUAUGCGUUCAUAACAUCAUCAAGCCUCUGAGGGCAUCCCAUCAUAUCAUCUUGGCCACUUUGGGCAAAUCAUCAACGUAUACCAGCUGAUCAGGUGGUGGUGCGUAUAUAACGCCAUAACCUUUUUCCAUAUCCCAUAUAAAUAUAAUAUACGCUUAUAUAACGCCAUAUGGUCAUNNNNNNNNNNNNNNNNUAUCAAAUACGUAUUUUUCUGAGACCCAUGAACAGAAGAUAUAAUAAUAAUUCACAUAGGAAAUCAAGAAUAUAGACACCACUAAUAUUUCUAUGAAUAGUCAUUUAUGAAAAUUGUGCAUUUAUUCGUUUCAUUUGUGUCGUAUAGAUCAUGCCAAAAAGAAAGAAGGGAUAGCCUUAACAUACCCGAGUUGAUUCUCUUGAGAAAGAUUACACCGUAUUCCCUUAAUAUUGCAAAAUCUCACGUUAAUUAAGGUGCUCUAAAAUCUCGGGGUUUCGAAGUGUUGAAGACGCUAUGGAAUAUCAUACUUUGAAUUCCUGAAGAGCCUUGAAAUUUCACGUUUUGAAGGAAAUAUUGAAGCAACCCACGUUGCUAAGAUGAUAAGGAAUUAUUUUGGUUGAAUUCUUGGAGUCUC